GACGAACGCUGGCGGCGUGCUUAACACAUGCAAGUCGAACGGAAAGGCCCUGCUUGCAGGGUACUCGAGUGGCGAACGGGUGAGUAACACGUGGGUGAUCUGCCCUGCACUUCGGGAUAAGCCUGGGAAACUGGGUCUAAUACCGGAUAGGAGCCAUUUUUAGUGUGAUGGUUGGAAAGUUUUUUGGUGUAGGAUGAGCUCGCGGCCUAUCAGCUUGUUGGUGGGGUAAUGGCCUACCAAGGCGGCGACGGGUAGCCGGCCUGAGAGGGUGGACGGCCACAUUGGGACUGAGAUACGGCCCAGACUCCUACGGGAGGCAGCAGUGGGGAAUAUUGCACAAUGGGCGCAAGCCUGAUGCAGCGACGCCGCGUGGGGGAUGACGGCCUUCGGGUUGUAAACUCCUUUCGCUAGGGACGAAGCUUUUUGUGACGGUACCUAGAUAAGAAGCACCGGCUAACUACGUG
rnacentral:rRNA from 1 species